GACGAACCGUGCGAACGUUGUUCGGAAUCACUGGGCUUAAAGGGCGCGUAGGCGGUCAAUCCAGUCGGGGGUGAAAUCUUGCAGCUUAACUGUAAAAGUGCCUUCGAUACUGAUUGACUCGAGGGAGGUAGGGGCAGGUGGAACUUCCAGUGGAGCGGUGAAAUGUGUUGAUAUUGGAAGGAACGCCGGUGGCGAAAGCGACCUGCUGGAUCUCUUCUGACGCUGAGGCGCGAAAGCUAGGGGAGCAAACGGGG
rnacentral:rRNA from 1 species